rnacentral:rRNA from 1 species
CAGCAGCCGCGGGAACACGUAGGGUGCGAGCGUUAAUCGGAAUUACUGGGCGUAAAGCGUGCGCAGGCGGUUCGUUAAGACAGAUGUGAAAUCCCCGGGCUUAACCUGGGAACUGCAUUUGUGACUGGCGAGCUAGAGUAUGGCAGAGGGGGGUAGAAUUCCACGUGUAGCAGUGAAAUGCGUAGAGAUGUGGAGGAAUACCGAUGGCGAAGGCAGCCCCCUGGGCCAAUACUGACGCUCAUGCACGAAAGCGUGGGGAGCAAACAGGAUUAGAUACCCCCGUAGUCCCUGUCUCUUAUAC